CGGGGCCGGGCGAGGCGGGAGGGGCGGCUCCCGGCUCCCGGAGACCCGGAGUCCGCGGUGCGGCGGUCCUGUCUCCUGCUGGCUUGGGGAGACGGGGGACUCCGCGGAGGCCCCCUCCCCGGUCCCUGGGGAGUUCCGGGGGGUGCGGUCUCGUCCCCUCUCCCGGGUUCCCUGCGCAGCCCCCCAAACGCCUCUCCUCCAACCCCCUCCGUGCUCUAACGACCGCUUCCCGCCUGGGCUCGGCCGCUCCCUGGCUGUACUGGGAAUGGACACCUUUGUUCAGAGGAAAGGAGAGGCAAAGCGCGGGGUGCGGAGGAGGGCUUGCUUGGUUUGUACAGAGUGACAGCAUGUGUACGUGGAACCCUAGAAAUAAUCGGUGACCAAUCUUUCAGAGAAGAUGCACGUGCUGUGGAUGACACUGGAAAUUUGGAUUAUCUUAAUAAAAUUUAGUCGUCUGG
rnacentral:lncRNA from 1 species